GUACCGUUAGCUCAGUUGGUAGAGCAAAAGACUCUUAAUCUUUGGGUCGUGGGUUCGAUCCCCUCACGGUGCACCA
rnacentral:tRNA from 1 species